ACGAACGCUGGCGGCGUGCUUAACCCAUGCACGUCGAACGGAAAGGCCCCUUUGGGGGUCCUCGAGUGGCGAACGGGUGAGUAACACGUGAGUAACCUGCCCUUGACUUCGGGAUAACUUCAGGAAACUGGGGCUAAUACCGGAUAGGAAUCCUUGCUGCAUGGUGGGGGUUGGAAAGCUUCGGCGGUUUUGGAUGGACUCGCGGCUUAUCAGCUUGUUGGUGGGGUAGUGGCUUACCAAGGCUUUGACGGGUAGCCGGCCUGAGAGGGCGACCGGCCACAUUGGGACUGAGAUACGGCCCAGACUCCUACGGGAGGCAGCAGUGGGGAAUAUUGCACAAUGGGCGGAAGCCUGAUGCAGCAACGCCGCGUGCGGGAUGACGGCCUUCGGGUUGUAAACCGCUUUCAGCAGGGGCGAAGCUUGUGGUGACGGUACCUGCAGAAGAAGCACCGGCUAACUACGUG
rnacentral:rRNA from 1 species